CAAAAUAUAGCUUAAAUAAAGCAUUUUAUUUACACCAAAAAAAUAUUUGUUAAAUCAAAUUAUUUUGA
rnacentral:tRNA from 1 species